UUCUACGUGUUCUAUGGGAACUGGACUAUGCCUGGGAGUUGGUGGACUAUGAUUAGUUAAUUGUUUAGAAACAGAAAUUCUUACAUCACCUGUUCUGUCUAUAGAGUACGACCUCUGAGUUUCCACAAGAGAUUUUCUGUCCUGAGUUCCCUGUAAUUGUGAGCGUUUUCCUAAGUUAUUCUCAGGUACCUCCGCUUCCUCCAUUUCUGUGUGUGGCAAAGCUACAUCACUGUGUCUUCUCUCAUGCCGUGCUUUAGAAACCUUGGCAUGCAUGCGCAUUUGCUGUUCCUCAGGAUGUGGUUUAACAGGAUAUCUUGCCAGAUUGGGGUCACUCCUGUACCGAGUAUGAUACUCAUCUUCCUUCUUUUGUUUUUCAUCAUCAGGCACUUUGCCUUCCUCAAGUUUUUCUGGCAAGUCGGGAUAGUCCUGUGACUUCCCUUUUUCCAGUCUUCUAUUUUCAUGCCUUUCUUUACGUUCCCUAUCAUCUGCUGGUCCUUCUUUUUGAAGUGAGGUUUUUGGCACACGCUUUCGCUCACUCUUUACAACUUUGCCAUUCUGGUCUGAAACCAACGUCUUCUUCCUCUCUCUUGGAGGCUCACUUCUAGACCUUGAUGAAACUUGCUUUUGGUCCAGGCCCAUAGCUGGCUGUGAUACUUCAGCUCCUUU
rnacentral:lncRNA from 1 species